ACAAACUUGCUGGAAAUGGAUGAGAAACCUUCUGCUCUGCUGGAGUUUAUCUUGAGUGUGCCUUAAAAUUCCAUUUCAUGGAGAACUGUGCGUGGUUGAAUUUUGAUUGAUUACUCAAUUAACUGAUGUAUUGGUAGAGUGAUUAAGAAAGAAGACUUUGGGAUCAGACCAACCUGGUUUUGAAUUCAAGCUCAGCAACUUACUAGGUAAGGAGGAGAAAAGAAAGAAGGAAAAAUUGGAAAGAUAAAUGGGGUCUUUCCAGUGAAGGCUCAAUUUUCCUACAUAAUUAAGAGUUUGGAAUUUGGGCAAUAUCAAGAACCACAUCUGUCCUGAAAUCAAUUAUCUCUGUUUGAAACACAAGAAAUAAGAAGACCAUUUUGAGAAGAACAGAGAGUAGCCUUAAGAAAAUCCCUGUCGCAAGCACUCUGGGAUUUGGACUCAAAUGCUAAUUAUACAGUCUAUAAUGAUGACUGGAAUAGGAAAUUCGGACAGCAAAAGUGGUCGCUUCUUAGGCUUCCUGCCAGAUUUUGAAAACCACUAUAACUAGUCGUUUCUGCCAAGAACCACUUGGGUGCCCAGCUGCUGUCCAUUCUCCACACUUAUCCCACCUGAUGGAACGCUGUUGAGAAAAACAUCACUGCAAUGCCUAAUAAACAGACAUGGGUCCCAGACCCAAUAAGAGUGAAACCAUCCCCCUAUUUAAAUGAUAUUAUGGCUGAUGAGAAAGACAAAUUAAUUUCUCUGUCCCUAGUAUUACACAAAACUUUGGAUACUGCCAUUGUUACAAUUUUAUUUUCCCCAGGAGCUCAGAGUCCCACCUUCAUUCUUUUUGUCUAAUGCUUAAGCUUGCCUGUCCACCUAUGGAAGACUAGAAUGAGCAAAGACCAUGUAUUCAAUGAUCUGUAAAUCUAACAGGAAAUAAUAUAAUAAAUAUAUUGUGUUUGCUAACCAAAUCUGUGAAUGAUUAGAUCGACUGGUUAAUGAUUAGAUGGAUUAACACAUCAUUUCUAUUUUCUCUCUCCUCCCCUACUUCUUGUUUUAAUGAUACCUUCCAAGUUUUAUUUCUCCAAGCCUAACCCCUUACAUAAUACAAGAGGACAACAGUUUGCAAAAUAAAUAUCUGUUGGCCCUAACUGGUAAAUACUGAAAUAGAUUUCAAGUAAUGUGAGUGUUUUUGAAACCACCUAAAUCUGUAAGCCACCCUGCAAGGAACAAGGGUAGCAAAGUGAAUAAGCCAGACAUGUAAAAAUAAAGAAAGAUGACAAAAUGGAAGGCAAUUAAUGCCUGUAAUGGAGGUGGGGAAGGGGGGAAUGACAAGUUAAUAAGAAAUUUAUUUUUAAAUGCUAUCUGCCAUAAAAUAUCCAUGCUUAUUUUAGAAAAUAUGUAAAAUGUUUAAGAAUUAAACAUCUUUAAAAAAAUCACAUGAACUCAUCACCCUGCAACAAAACACACACAGAUGAGUGCACACACUUAAACACACAUUAAUUUUCAAUUAGUAUAUAAAGUUAAUAUCCUGCUAAGUACAAGAUACUAUAUCAUGAGCAUUUUGUCUCGCCAAUAUUCUAUGAAAACAUAAUUAUAAUUAUUACAGAAUAUUCUGGAAAGUGAAUAUACCAUGAUUUAUCCAGUCAUUUCCCUAUUAACACACAUUUUGUGAUUCCAAUUUAUCACUGCCACACAGUAUUUUCUUAAAUAACCUCACUUAUAAGUUUUGUUUGAACGUUUUUAUUAUUUUCUAUUUAAUAUAAUGUUAAUAUAAUGUUAUAUAAUAUAAUGUUAUAAUGUUAGGGUUUUACUAUAUAAGGUGUAUACAUUAUUUUAACGCUCUUUCCACUGGACGCCCAAAGCCCUCAGUAAGUUUAGUGAAUAACAGUAGAAUGCCCAAAUUUUUGAAAGUUUUUCUCUUCCUUAAUUUUUAGCAUUUUGCACUAUAUUUUAUUUUGAAUAAAUUAAAGAACUCAUUUAAAGU
rnacentral:lncRNA from 1 species